UACAGAGGGGGCAAGCGUUAUUCGGAAUUAUUGGGCGUAAAGGGCGCGUAGGCGGCGAUUCAAGUGACGGGUGAAAUCCCUCGGCUUAACCGAGGAACUGCCUGUCAGACUGGAUUGCUUGAGGCCGGGAGAGGCGAGUGGAAUUCCCAGUGUAGCGGUGAAAUGCGUAGAUAUUGGGAGGAACACCAGUGGCGAAGGCGGCUCGCUGGACCGGUUCUGACGCUGAUGAACGAAAGCCAGGGGAGCAAACGGG
rnacentral:rRNA from 1 species